UGCGGAGGGGGCUAGCGUUGUUCGGAAUUACUGGGCGUAAAGCGUGCGCAGGCGGUGAUGUAAGACAGAUGUGAAAUCCCCGGGCUCAACCUGGGAACUGCAUUUGUGACUGCAUCGCUGGAGUGCGGCAGAGGGGGAUGGAAUUCCGCGUGUAGCAGUGAAAUGCGUAGAUAUGCGGAGGAACACCGAUGGCGAAGGCAAUCCCCUGGGCCUGCACUGACGCUCAUGCACGAAAGCGUGGGGAGCAAACAGG
rnacentral:rRNA from 1 species